UACAGAGGGUGCAAGCGUUGUCCGGAAUUACUGGGCGUAAAGAGCUCGUAGGCGGUUUGUCGCGUCUGCUGUGAAAACUGGAGGCUCAACCUCCAGCCUGCAGUGGGUACGGGCAGACUAGAGUGCGGUAGGGGAGAUUGGAAUUCCUGGUGUAGCGGUGGAAUGCGCAGAUAUCAGGAGGAACACCGAUGGCGAAGGCAGAUCUCUGGGCCGUAACUGACGCUGAGGAGCGAAAGCAUGGGGAGCGAACAGG
rnacentral:rRNA from 1 species